UAGGGAAUCUUCCACAAUGGACGCAAGUCUGAUGGAGCAACGCCGCGUGAGUGAAGAAGGUUUUCGGACCGUAAAGCUCUGUUGUUGGUGAAGAAGGAUAGAGGUAGUAACUGGCCUUUAUUUGACGGUAAUCAACCAGAAAGUCACGGCUAACUACGUGCCAGCAGCCGCGGUAAUACGUAGGCGGCAAGCGUUGUCCGGAUUUAUUGGGCCGUAAAGCGAGCGCAGGCGGAAGAAUAAGUCUGAUGUGAAAGCCCUCGGCUUAACCGAGGAAUUGCAUCGGAAACUGUUUUCUUGAGUGCAGAAGAGGAGAGUAGAACUCCAUGUGUAGCGGUGGAAUGCGUAGAUAUAUGGAAGAAUACCAGUGGCGAAGGCGGCUCUCUGGUCUGCAACUGACGCUGAGGCUCGAAAGCAUGGGUAGCGAACAGGAUUAGA
rnacentral:rRNA from 1 species